CAGCUGUCAGUCAGCACGCGUGCAGCAUGACAACAAACAUGAAAGUCACACUGUAGUGAAUGUGGACAGAAGACAUCUCAUUAUGAUCGUAUAUGUGCGGUUUAAUUCCAGCCAUGGGUUCCCGGUGGAGUUGGAGCAGGGUGCAAGUGUAGCUGAGCUAAAAGAGACCGUGGGGCGUCUACAGAGCAUAGAGCCUGAUCAACUGCGGGUCAUUUUUGCUGGACGAGAGCUCUGCAGUGAAUCCACACUUCAGGGUUGUGAUCUCCCUGAGCAGAGCACAGUUCAUGUGGUUCUGCCUCCAUCCAGUUCAGUCCGGCGCUCUGAGGUGGUCUUACAGCGCCGGCUGGGCGGCGGGGUGGGCAGCUUGACCCGACUGGACCUCAGCAGCUCUCGUCUGACCACUGCAUCCGACGGUCUGGCUGUCAUUCUGGAGACAGAUGCCUCCGGUCAGAGGAACCCCGACGGGCACACAGAAUCCAGAGCCCAUAGCAGUUUCUAUGUCUUCUGUAAGACGGUCUGCAAGGCCAUCCAGCCUGGAAAACUACGGGUUCGCUGCAGAGACUGUAAGCAAGGCACCCUCACACUCAGCCGGGGGCCGUGCUGCUGGGAUGACGUGCUUCUUCCUAACAGGAUUCAUGGAGUAUGUCAGUCACAAGACUGUGAUGGGAGAGUGGCGGAGUUCUACCUGAAAUGUGCCGCCCACCCCACCUGUGAUAAUGACACGUCGGUAGCACUGGACCUCAUCAUGGCCAACACACGUGGUGUCCCCUGCAUCGCCUGCACUGACAUCAUGAGUCCAGUUCUGGUGUUUCAAUGCGCUGAGCGUCAUGUGAUCUGUCUGGAGUGUUUCCAUCUGUACUGUGUGACCAGACUCAAUGAGAGACAGUUUAUCCACGAGCCGCUGGUGGGCUACUCCUUGCCCUGCGCAGCUGGCUGUCCUGACUCGCUCAUUAAAGAGAUUCAUCAUUUCCGAGUCCUGGGAGAUGAACAGUAUGAGCGUUACCAGCGGUAUGCAGCAGAGGAGUGUGUUCUUCAGAUGGGAGGAGUUCUGUGUCCCGCCUCUGGAUGUGGUGCUGGUCUGCUUCCUGUGGAUGAUGACAGAAGAGUCUGCUGUGAGUUAGGCAACGGACUCGGCUGUGGGCGGUGUGAAGGCCUCAGAUCUGAACUCCUGUCUGUCUCUGUCAAAGAGCUCAACCGAUGACCUGCGUCACAGAGCACUGCCAAUAUAUCCUUCUGUUCUCAAUGACGCAAUUUUAAGAGAAAUGUCUGAGACGAAGUUGAUACCAAAAUGAAACGCAACUGAGAACUCCAUCAAAUCUCCUUAGCUAUGAAAGAGCAACCACUGAGCAUUAACAUUUUAAGUAUUAAAAUUGUCCUCUGGGAUGUUUUUUCUGAAACUUUGUGAACUUUUCCAUCACACUGUUAUUCCCAUCACAUCUCAAACAUUCUGUAAUGAAAAUGACUGCUGUGGAAAUUACAUUUAAAACAUUUAUGAAUUAAAAUGCUCCUUUGGUUUAUAAAUACUCUACCAUUACAAAUUUCCUAGCUUUGAGAAAUAAAUGUGAUCAUUAUAUCCUAAAAAAAAAAACAGUUUGAUUAAUUUUAAUGUCUACAAACAUAUGUUUGCUGGAACUACACUAAUGUAGUGUAUUUAACCCCUUUAUACUUGUAGGUAAAUUUCAAUUAUUGAAUUGGAGUGUAUUUGUUUGUAUGCUUAUUGUUCAGUUAAGAAUUUUAAGAGCUUGUCUCUUAUCUUCAGACCAUACCUACUCUUAAAGUACAGGAUCGGUUUGAGAGGACUGUGGAAGAGAGAGAGAGAGAGAGAGAGCGGGCAGGUUGACAGUGAUGUUGCGGUCAGUGUUGUGUCUGUGAGCCACAGAUAAAGGCUUUAUUGCAGUUGGCGGUAAUGAACCAUUGGCACCAGCACACACGCAUAUAGCAACGAUGGCAUAUAAACACACACACACACACACACACACACACACACACACACACACACACACACACACAAAAGAUAGAGGGUUUUUACCCUGUCUGGACCUCAGAGACACCUCACAACCUACCUGUCCUACUUCACUUACAGAAAAAUCAAUAUAUGCCCUCUCAAUAUCUCCUCUACCAUUUUACACUUCCUUUCUCUCUUUUGUUUGGGGGUUUAGGGGCUCUGUAUCAUCAGCAGCGUUGUGUGUUGAAUAGUAGAGCUGAUCUUGCUGUAAGCCGCCAGCGAUAGAGCAAUUUCUGCCAGCUCUAGAUGUGCUUGUGUGUGUGUGCGUGUGUGUGUGUGUGUGCGUGUGUGCGUGCGUGCGUGUGUGUGUGUGUGUGCGCGUGUGUGUGAUUCAGGAGGGGGUUAUGCUUGUGGUCCGUGUGUGUGUGUGUGUGUGUGUGUGUGUGUGUGCUGUGCGUGCGUGUGUGUGUGCGUGUGUGAUUCAGGAGGGGGUUAUGCUUGUGGUCCGUGUGUGUGUGAGUGUGUUUUGAAUCAUCUCUCAGCAUCUCGAGAGGUAAGAUUAGACCUGUCAUUGGUGAUGGAAAAAGAUCUGGUGACCUUGGUAAUGCUGGUGCCACGAGCUGACAAGGUUUAUAUUGAUUCUUCACUGCUAUUAAUAUAAAUUUCUUUUAGUUUGUAGUUGGAUGCGCAUAAAAUCACAUCAAAAAUAUAGUUCUUUUGGUAGCAGGAUGGGAAUGAAAUAAAAAGUGACUAAAUAAAUAAAAUCCUGUAUGUGUAUAACGUCAUCCUGUGUAUUAUUAUUUUAUUACAUAUAUAUAAAAAUAUAUGUACAAUCGUAAUGUUUUUUGUUAAAGUGAUAGUUCACCCCCCAAAUGUUUUUUUCAUCAUUUACUUUUUCUUUCUUGCAGAUAUUUUGAAGAAUGUUGCGGGAACCAAACAAUGCGGCACCCAUUAACUUCUAUUGUAUAGACACAAAACCAAUGCUAGUCAAUGGGUGCCGCCAUUGUUCGGAUACAAACAUUCUUCAAAAUAUCUUUUUUUGUGUUCUGCAGAACAAAGAAAGUCAUGCAGGUUUGAAAUGACAAGAGGAUGAGUAAAUGAUGACGGAAUUGGAAUUAUAGAGCCUUAAAACUAGGAUUUCAUUCAAGUUUACAGUACAUUUCAUUAUUAGGUUUCUGAAGGUUCAACACUGACUUCAUUUUCAAGUAAAUAAAAAGACUCUGUCUUUAAAUAAUUGUGUGUUUGUAGGCGGUUGCUAAGUGAGACGUUUCCUGUUAUUUACAAACUCUGUGUCUAUAUCUGUCUCCCUCUCGUCCUCUCUCUCUCUUUCUCUCCAGCUUUUAGAAGUGUACUGAGUAAAGGGACAGAUAGCCAGGUGUCAGAAAGAUGCUGUUAUGGCCUUGAAGCUGUACAUUUAGGUUGGUUGUGAGCUCGUGUUGGUGGGAGAGAGAGAUCAGUCUGGCAGAUGAUCAGACCUUUCUCUCUCUUUUAUAGUUUCAGUCUGACAUUCUUAUUUAACACACAUCAGACGGAUACUGUCAGUUUCUGUCUAAGUCUACACACACACUCAACUGCAUUUGUUAAUGCUGGAGGACAAAUCGAAAGACAUUAUAGCACAGUGCCCACAAUGUAUCGUUUGUAUACAGCAUUUAUAUAUGUGAGCAUCUCCACUGCAAACUACAGUAUAAAUGUUUUCUAUACAGCAGGUGAAUUUUAUUAAAGUCCCUGUGAAAUCUUCCUGGUGAAAGUUUCUGUAUUGGGGGAAGAAUUUAGCAGAAUGGGCAAUUCCAGCGUUAUGGAUGUGACAUUUCACAUAAUGUAUUUAUUACCAAUAUAUAGAACUUUGUUUAUAUUUUACUAAGCCCCCAAUGCUAGAGGCCAGACAUCAGAAAAUAUCAGUCUAUACACAAAUUUUCUGUUUUAAAAGAGGGGAAAUUAAUGUGUUACAGAUGUGACAAAUAAGGACUGACCGACGUUAUACUUCGUAGGAUCUCUGUGAAUUAAAAUGUGCAAACCAGAAGCAAUAAUCCUCAACAAAAGGAGAAGGGAUGACUCUUUAUAGAACAUAAACUUUAUUUAAAUUUUCUUGUGCCCGUUCUGGAUGUGACCGUUCACGUACCCGACUAUGAUUUAAAAACAUAAAGUAUUUUGAAAAAGAGAGGAUUCACGUGAGUAUUUAAACCGCCAAAUAUUGACAUCUGACCUAUCAGUGUGGUAAACUUUUGUCGAAAACAUUUGCAUGCAAUUGCCCGAAUGGUUUUGUGAACAAACAAGAAUUGAGGUAAGAGACUUUAUUCUUAUUUACAGCAGAAAGUUUAAAACGACCUGAGCUCAUUUGAUCUUGGAAAACCUGAAUUUGAAAAAUUGCCUGCUGGACUUUGCAUGAAACUGGAACUGGCUUGACAAAUUAAAACCUCGCAUUACUUUGCAUGUAAAGAAAGUGUAACAGAUUCUUCAGGACUGCGUGUGCCAUUAAUUCCACCCUAAGAAGCAUUUCACACCGUUCCAUGCCCAGCGCCGAAUGCACCCGUCCCGUCUCUGGCGCGGUGGGAGACGGCUGUGCUGGAGAAGGACACCAACCAUGUGGGUAAUAAACAUGAAUGGUGGCGCGUCUGAGAGGGAACGGAUGAUAGCAGGGGUGAAAAAGUGGAAGGAAAGUGGCUGUCAGAAGAACUUUGUUUUCUCAUCAUUGUUUUCUCUGUCUCCAAACCUUGAGAGGAUGUGUCAUGAGCAGCAGAAAUAAUAAAGCAGAGAGAUGAUGCGAUGCUCCUCUACCUCACAGCUUGGGCCUCUGAAGAAAUACGAAAUCAGUAGAGCUUCAAAGGAGCUGUAGAGGAGGUGUAUGCUAAACCUGCCAGUAAUAGGCCUUUCUCGUGUUAAAACUGGGUUUCAGGAAGGUUAUGGUGAAAGGGUGCCCCCUGGUGUUGGGUUUGAGCGCUGCAUAGAUAUGCCAUAUCAUUUUAAUGUCGAAAUAAACCAUUUCUGCCACCUGUUCAUGUUAUUGUACAUUGUUCUUAUUCAUAAUCGUUAACAGAUUUUUUUAUUGUUGUGUAGUUGGUGUUUUGCAGAAACUGUAAGGAAGAAUAUCACGUGGGAACGUGCAGACAAAAGUUGGCGGCAGCAGCAGGAAAUACCCUUCAGGGUUAUAUUGUAGAUGAAGAAGCAGCUCUUCGUGCCC